UACGUAGGGUGCGAGCGUUAAUCGGAAUUACUGGGCGUAAAGGGUGCGCAGGCGGUUUUGUAAGCCAGAUGUGAAAUCCCCGGGCUUAACCUGGGAAUGGCAUUUGGGACUGCAAGGCUAGAGUAUGGGAGAGGGAAGUGGAAUUUCCGGUGUAGCGGUGAAAUGCGUAGAUAUCGGAAGGAACAUCAGUGGCGAAAGCGACUCCUGGACCAAUACUGACGCUCAUGUGCGAAAGCGUGGGGAGCAAACAGG
rnacentral:rRNA from 1 species